rnacentral:rRNA from 1 species
GGCGAACGCUGGCGGCAGGCUUAACACAUGCAAGUCGAACGGGCGUAGCAAUACGUCAGUGGCAGACGGGUGAGUAACGCGUGGGAACGUACCUUUUGGUUCGGAACAACCCAGGGAAACUUAGGGCUAAUACCGGAUAAGCCCUUACGGGGAAAGGAUUUAUCGCCGAAAGAUCGGCCCGCGUCUGAUUAGCUAGUUGGUGAGGUAACGGCUCACCAAGGCGACGAUCAGUAGCUGGUCUGAGAGGAUGAUCAGCCACAUUGGGACUGAGACACGGCCCAAACUCCUACGGGAGGCAGCAGUGGGGAAUAUUGGACAAUGGGCGCAAGCCUGAUCCAGCCAUGCCGCGUGAGUGAUGAAGGCCCUAGGGUUGUAAAGCUC